rnacentral:rRNA from 1 species
AGUGAACGCUGGCGGUAGGCCUAACACAUGCCAGUCGAACGCCAGCACAGUAAGAGCUUGCUCUUACGGGUGUCGAGUGGCGGACGGGUGAGGAAUACAUCGGAAUCUACUUUUUCGUGGGGGAUAACGUAGGGAAACUUACGCUAAUACCGCAUACGACCUACGGGUGAAAUCAGGUGAUCUUCGGACCUUGCUCGAUUCAAUAAGGCGAUGUCGGAUUAGCUAGUUGGCGGGGUAAAGGCCCACCAAGGCGACGAUCCGUAGCUGGUCUGAGAGGAUGAUCAGCCACACUGGAACUGAGACACGGUCCAGACUCCUACGGGAGGCAGCAGUGGGGAAUAUUGGACAAUGGGCGCAAGCCUGAUCCAGCAAUACCGCGUGGGUGAAGAAGGCUUUCGGGUUGUAAAGCCCUUUUGUUGGGAAAGAAAAGCAGCAGGUGAAUACCCCGCUGUUCGGACGGUACCCAAAGAAUAAGCACCGGCUAACUUAGUG